rnacentral:rRNA from 1 species
GACGAACGCUGGCGGCGCGCCUAACACAUGCAAGUCGAACGAGCGAGAGAGAGCUUGCUUUCUCGAGCGAGUGGCGAACGGGUGAGUAACGCGUGAGGAACCGGCCUCAAAUAUGGGGACAACAGUUGGAAACGACUGCUAAUACCGCAUAAGCCCACGACCCGGCAUCGGGUAGAGGGAAAAGGAGCAAUCCGCGUUGAGAUGGCCUCGCGUCCGAUUAGCUAGGUGGUGGGGUAACGGCCCACCAAGGCGACGAUCGGUAGACGGACUGAGAGGUUGAACGGACACAUUGGGACUGAGACACGGCCCAGACUACUACGGGAGGCAGCAGUGGGGAAUAUUGCACAAUCGGGGAAACCCUGAUGCAGCGACGCCGCGUGGAGGAAGAAGGUCUUCGGAUUGUAAAGUCCUGUUGUUGAGGAAGAUAAUGACGGUACUCAACAAGGAAGUGACGGCUAACUACGUG